rnacentral:rRNA from 1 species
AUUGAACGCUGGCGGCAUGCCUUACACAUGCAAGUCGAACGGUAACAGGUUAAGCUGCCGAGUGGCGAACGGGUGAGUAAUGUAUCGGAACGUGCCCAGUCGUGGGGGAUAACUGCUCGAAAGAGCAGCUAAUACCGCAUACGACCUGAGGGUGAAAGCGGGGGAUCGCAAGACCUCGCGCGAUUGGAGCGGCCGCUAUCAGAUUAGGUAGUUGGUGAGGUAAAGGCUCACCAAGCCGACGAUCUGUAGCUGGUCUGAGAGGACGACCAGCCACACUGGGACUGAGACACGGCCCAGACUCCUACGGGAGGCAGCAGUGGGGAAUUUUGGACAAUGGGCGCAAGCCUGAUCCAGCCAUGCCGCGUGCGGGAAGAAGGCCUUCGGGUUGUAAACCGCUUUUGUCAGGGAAGAAAAGGUUCUGGCUAAUACCUGGGACUCAUGACGGUACCUGAAGAAUAAGCACCGGCUAACUACGUG